rnacentral:rRNA from 1 species
UGAAUCAUCGAAUCUUUAGAACGCACAUUGCGCCCUUUGGUAUUCCAGGGGGCAUGCCUGUUUGAGCGUCAUUUCUCUCUCAAACCUUUGGGUUUGGUAGUGAGUGAUACUCGUCUCGGGUUAACUUGAAAGUGGCUAGCCGUUGCCAUUUGCGUGAGCAGGGCUGCGUGUCAAGUCUAUGGACUCGACUCUUGCACAUUUACGUCUUAGGUUUGCGCCAAUUCGUGGUAAGCUUGGGUCAUAGAGACUCAUAGGUGUUAUAAAGACUCGCUGGUGUUUGUCUCCUUGAGGCAUACGGCUUUAACCAAAACUCUCAAAGUUUGACCUCAAAUCAGGUAGGAGUACCCGCUGAACUUAAGCUUAUCAAUAAGCGGAGGAAUC